CCUGGGAGGCACCAGGAGUUUGAAGUUGAAGCGUCCUUCUUUCUCCAUCUUGAUUUAAACGCUAACUAUUAAGUUGGCUAAUAUACAUACAGACAAGAAAAAUUUGAAACGUAUAUUUUUUUAAUUGGCGGAAAUGUGAGUUCUCACCUUCGGAUAUGACGAAAGCGAAAGUUAUCGCUACGCCGAGGCCUUCUUCAAGACGAGGUUGAGGACGGCUAACGGCAAUGAUAUUAUAGUUCGUGGAAUAUUAAACAAAAAGAGACAGUUUAGCUUGCAGCAACCGGUAGUUGAGGCCCAUGCCCAUGAAGAGAAAGAAACUGGAGACGAUCAAGAGGAUCCCACAGCCUUGUUACCUCCGCCGUAUGUGACUGCCAACAUAAUAGAGGAGAUCCAGGAAACCUGGCUGCUGCUAACAUUGAAGAUGACUUCAAUUUCCUUGAAGAAGACAGUGAUGGACUUGGGAAACGCAUAAGAGAAACCAAUUGAGAUGAAGGCCCCGAUCACCACCAUCCAUCCCCAACCGCCCUCCGGUGGGGUGUAGCCGACUGGACCUCCAACGGCCGGUGCCAUGUUUGAUUAGUAAGUGUUGGUUUCUGUUUCUAUAUUAGAAUAUCGUCUCUGGAAACAACAAUAACAAAAAAAAAAACAUCCAUUUAUUAGUAUUUCUCAUUCACUGACUCGAAACCUUCAUUUCUUAUUGGACAGCGCAGUAAUUUUUUUGGUCAUGUUGAAUAGUACAGUCAAAACAUUGGUGUCAUACCAAAUAAACUACCUUUGUAUGUGAUAGUAUUUCUAA